UGCCACAGCCAAAUCCCCCUGCAGCCCAAGACUGGUUGCUCACUGAAGCUAAGCAGGGUUGAGUCUGGUCAGUACCUGGAUGGGAGACCUCCUGGGAAAACUAGGUUGCUGCUGGAA
rnacentral:rRNA from 1 species